rnacentral:lncRNA from 1 species
AUGACACGGGACCCCAUUGUCGGCGGAACCCUGGCACCCCAGGGUUCCACUGCUGCCUGGCGCUACUCUGCAUUCCCAGGCAGUGGGAGGCACUCGUGCCUGGAUCUGGCUCACAGCCCCCGAACAAGCCCACUCUCCCCAGUACCCCAAUGCAUAAAGUGUAGGUGCUCACACAGCGACAAGUCGCAGAAAUCUUCAGUCUGCCCCAAGCCCGCAGGAACACUCACUGGAAGGCCCAUCCACCGCCAUCUCGGCGCCACCCCUGAGUUGGGAGACGUCACCCCAAGCAUCAGCUGUGAUAAUUUCUGGACCAUAAAGAACGCUUCUAAACCAACAGCACUGCCAUCCGGUUAUCUGCUCAUCUUGUGGCUCUGGCCACAGCAGACCCAAAGUCCUACCUUUGAUGGAAGCAUCUAAUAAGUGACAAGUCUGAAAUUCUCAAGUUUCAAUUCCAAACUCAGAGCUUUCCCCUCAAAAGGGGAGAAAAGAAAAAAAGAAGAGAAGAAAAAAAAAAGUCUGGCUAGAGAAGCAAAUACUUGAACUAAUAGCUACUGUUUCCUCAUCAAACAUUAAUAUCCUACCUUCUCCUGACUGCCUUAAAAGGACUCUCAGCAACAAAUUCUAUAAAAUUCUAAGGUUUUCAUUAAAAUGUUUGUUUAGAUAUGUGUUGUUUUCGGAAUAUCUUUUUUUCUGCCUGUGAUGACUGCUUGUGACUCUAACGAACAUUCCUCCUUGUUGUUUCUGAGAAGCCAGCCUCUUUGUGUUCGGUGAGCUCUUUUAUGUUUCUUAAUUAAAAAUGUGCAGAGAUAAAGGACAGUUGCACUAAUUGUGCCUGGCAGCUGGCCUACCUUGCAACGACCCCUCUCUCUUCCUCCCUCUACUUCUUUGUUGAGGCAAAGUUGGCCCGGGUAAGGGAGGCAGCUCUGCCCAGCUCCAGAUGGUGACAAAAACCAUGACAGACUCAAAGUUUAGGACUCUGUUCCUGAGAACCCACAUUGUACCACUGUAAGCAGGUGGCAAAUAACGGGUGCCCCCUCCCCCCCGUUGCAGCACUGUUUUGAAUAUAGCAGCUGUUCACACAAAUCUACUUUAUUCUCUUCUGCAACAUCUUUUAAAGUUCAAGGUUUAAAAAAAUUAGUAGAAAUCUCAAUUUUCUUCAGGGGUACAUUGCUUUUUGUACCUUAACUCAUACAGAAAGAAAUACAGUAUCUAUCUGAAUAUGAAUAAAAUCAUUGCGGUUAUAUUCUUGCUAAUAAUCACAGAUAUUUAAGCUGUUGGACACAUCUCUGCUUCAAAACAUAUUAGAAAUAUAUUAUGUUUAAGGAAUUAGUCCAAAAUUGCUUCUUGACCGAAAAGUGAGUUAUUAUAGCUUAUAAGCAUGAUUUCCUAGAGAGGGAUCAAAAUGUAUUUAAACUACCAGAAGAAAAAAAAAAAACUACCAGAAGACUGCUUUAGGCUCCUUUGAAACUGUUUAUUCACCACCUCUAUUUUGUAUAUGCAAUACUUUGACUAAAAUAAAAUACCUAAUAUUACAUAAUGCAUGACAUGUAAAGUAAAAUGACUGAAACCUAGUUCUGUAAAAAACUGGUUGGAUUUCAGUUACGCACUCGUCACUGCACAGGGCUCUGUCCUCCGGAGGAAACAAGCGUUAGAAGAAGGUAACAUGUGGUAACAGUCCUUACAGGUCUGCACCACGCUACUCCAUGAAAAAGCUGGAGAACCACAGCAAACAGCCAUGCAGAAAAUAUAUUUUGGUUUGUGAGUGAGACACCUCAAGCAAACCAGCCCUAAGCAGACAGUUACACCAACUCCUGUAAUUGCCACGUCUAUGAGCACGAGAUGAGUCCAUGUUUCCUUUCUCACGUCACAGCCACGUCUUGGCUUUCUCCGGGCCCUCUGUCCUCCCUUUGCCCAGCUUUCUUCUUUCUCUAGUUCCCUUGUGAUGUAUCCAGAUGCCCACAUCUUUCUCCAACUAUCCCUCUCAUCCUGUCUUCUACCUCUGUCUUCUGUAUUUUCUGUAUCUUUCUCCAACUACCCCUCUCACCCUCUGUCUUCUACCUCUGUCUUCGGUAUCUUCUGUAUCUUUCUCCAACUACCUCGCUCAUCCUCUGUCUUCUACCUCUGUCUUCCGUAUCUUUCUCAAACUAUCUUUCUCUUAUUCCAAUAUAUUUUAUUGCCCCCUGUCCCCCAAGAGUUACAUAGGACAGAGUAACAAAAAAGGAAAAGUAACACAAACUUAAAGAUCAAAAUUUAACGCUUUGGGGAUAUAGGUAGUGCAAUGCAGAUUUGACAACUCUAAAACCCCAGAGACCAAGCCUCAAUCCCUCUUUCUGCUAGUGGAGAAAGCACCCUGAGCCACACAGAUUCUCUCCUUCAACAUAACUUGUGGUUUGAGGUGGCUGCUAGAGUCCUGGCCAUUAUAAAUGUGUCCCAAGACAGAAGAAAGUGAGGCAGUGGUAUAGAGGAGGGAUCUAUAUCAGAAAAGUGUCCUCCUUCAAAAAGCAUUCUGUAAAGGCUUUCUCAGAUAGUCUUCUACUGGGUAGAGUGGGGUCAGCCAAUCUCCUCUACAUCUAUUAAGGGAUGAAGAAAUGAGGGGAAUUAAUGGAGGCAGCUGGACGUUUCUGCCCCUCACUGUCAUCUUUUAUUCCAUCUCUGUAACAAAAAGCAUGUGUCAACCACUGGUCUACAACACAGAGGUAGUUCUAGAAAUAUCCACUGAAUAUUUCUAUAGUUUAAUCAUUUUCUCCUUAAUGUCUUAAAUUAGUUAGCUUUAGAGCUGCAACUGUUAUCCAACGUCAGUGCUAAAUUCACCUGUGAGAGAAACUCUUCUUGAUGUUUUGUUGCAUUUAUCUUAUAAAAUAUCUCUGGGAGCCAGACUCUAAGUGACUGGACUACAGCCAGGAAUGGGGAGUUCACGGUGGGGUCGUCUGCCAUGGGGAACACCUGAAAGUCAUCUGUCUACCUUCUGUCCAAAGGGCAAACUGCGAAUCCAAAAGGGAUGCAGGCUUCUGUUCUUUGUGCUGCUAUGGUAAGAAAUCGAGUAGCAAUACUGACAUUGAUAAGCAAUGCAAGAAAUUAACAACAGCCGUCACUUAUUAAGUACUUAAGUGCCAGGCAUCGUGUUAGACAUUUUAGUUAGUGUGACUCUCUAAGACUGUUGGGCAUACUUAGUAGAAGAGAUCUCUGCAUCAGCAUCUCCUAGAUAACACACAUUCCAGGCUCCACCUAAAACCUACUCCUUUGGAAUUUCCCCAGCAUGUAAGCUCCCAUUUAGUAAACCCCCGGAGAUAUUCUAAUGUUCAACCAAAUUUGAGAACCACUGAACUAGAUUGAAAGCUUCUUUUCAAUAACCAGCAACAAUUUCAGAGAGAAUGGAUAAUACCAUAAUACCCAGAGCAGAGCUACACAACAAAGUACUGAAAUGUCUGCAAUUAGGAGAGAUUGAUUGGGGGAUGCCUGGUUAGCUCAGUAACGAGACUCUUGAUCUUGGGGGUAUAAGUUCAAGCCCCACAUUGGGUGUAGAGGUUACUUAAAAAUAAAACCUUAAAGAAUGCCUGGGUGGCUCUGUCAGUUAAGUAUCCAACUCUUGAUCUCAGGGUAGUGAGUUCAAGCCCCACAUUGGGCUCCCUGCUAGGCAUGAAACCUACUUAAAAUUAAAAGCAAAUUUAAUAAAAUCUUUUUAAAAAGGAGAGAUUUAUGAAUUUUCAACCUUGGAAUUUAUAAGAUCUGAAGCUUUAAAUAGUGCUAGUGUGUACAUUUGCUAGGGCUUGAGUCCUAUAUCAAGUUGGCUCAGUAAGCCAUGUAUGGUUCUUAUUACAGACCCUGCAUUCAGUGAUUCUCAAAUAAUCCUCUGUGGUUAUUAACGUUCCAAGUUGAAAAACUAGUAUAGUUGUCAAAUCAGAUUAACCAGAUGGGUUACUGCAAUAAGGUAAUGGUGUCUAGACUGGACAGAUCUGGUUGUCAAGACAUUUAACAGAUGCUUCUUUGUCAAAAACAAAAACAAAACAAAACAAAACAAAAAGGUUAUUAUAGUCUGUGUAUCAUAGUCCCUUUUAGAUAAAUUCUAAAUAAUUCUUCCAAAAAAAUUAGAGGAUGUGAAUAAGUCAGAAAAGAAUUCCCCAAAACACAAAUUUCUCAGAAAGAUGUUUUCUCUCUCUUUUUUAAAGAUUUUAUUUAUUUAUCUGACAGAAAGGAAGAGAGAGUACAAGCAGGGAGGGAAGGGACAGAGGUAAGGAACAGACUCCCCUCUGAGCAGGGAGCCGAAUGCACAUCUUGACCCCAGGACCCUGAGGUCAUGACUUGAGCCAAAGGCAGACACUUCACCAGCUGAGCCCCCAAGGUGCCCCCAAAAGACAUUUUCUUAAUAUAUAUGAAUAUAUAUAUUUAUAUAUAUAUAUAUAUAUAUAUAUAUAUAUAUAUAUAUAUAUACCAACACAUGUACAUGAUUU